AGCGAGCUUAAGACUUAUCCAGUGGCGC
rnacentral:piRNA from 1 species